rnacentral:rRNA from 1 species
UACGAAGGGGGCUAGCGUUGUUCGGAAUCACUGGGCGUAAAGGGCGCGUAGGCGGCCGAUCAAGUCGGGGGUGAAAGCCUGUGGCUCAACCACAGAAUUGCCUUCGAUACUGUUUGGCUUGAGACCGGAAGAGGUUAGUGGAACUGCGAGUGUAGAGGUGAAAUUCGUAGAUAUUCGCAAGAACACCAGUGGCGAAGGCGGCCGACUGGUCCGGUUCUGACGCUGAGGCGCGAAAGCGUGGGGAGCAAACAGG